ensembl:lncRNA
CUGAAAAGGAUGCUGCUGUGAAUGGUGAUAUGUCUAUGCCAGCUCAUUGUUUCUAUAUCAGAGUUUUCAUUUUCAGGUGUUGUUUCAUGGCUGACUACAAUUCUUUGUCUUUUAUAAUGAUCAUUGUUUUUCUAACAUAAUAGAAGAGCAAGAGGAGACUGCAGUGGGUUGUUAGGGCUAGAGUCAGGUCUAGAGACAGGGUUAGAGUCAGGGCUAGAGUUAGGUCUAGAAUCAGGGCUAGAGUCAGGUCUAACGUCAGGGCUAGAAUCAGGGCUAGAGUCAGGUCUAACGUCAGGGCUAGAAUCAGGGCUAGAAUCAAGGCUACAGUCAGGGUUAUAGUCUGGGCUAGAAUCAGGGUUACAAAUCAGGGUUAAUCAGGAUUGGUUUCCCCAAGAAAGGUUAACUUCAUACAAUGAGUGAAUGUGUCUGAAAGUGAGUGUAGCUAAAUCAUUAGGACGAUCAAAACAACCUGGGUGUAACUUAGGUGGUGCCCCAUUCAAAGCUGACAGUGUCAGGUUUAGGUUGAGCCUACAGUGUCAGGGUUAGGUUUAGCCUACAGUGUCUGGGUUAGGGUUAGCCUACAGUGUUAGGGUUAGGGUUAGGGUUAGCCUACAGUGUCAGGGUUAGGGUUAGCCUACAGUGUCUGGGUUAGGGUUAGCCUACAGUGUCAGGGUUAGGUUUAGCCUACAGUGUCUGGGUUAGGGUUAGCCUACAGUGUCAGCGUUAGCCUACAGUAUAAUGGUUAGGUUUAAGAUUAGCAUACAGUGUCCGGGUAAGUUUAAGUUUAGCCUACUACAUAGUUGGCUCAAAACAACAGACAUAAUUAAACGUGUUGUAAAAUGAAAUCCAACAGUAUAUUACAUUGUUGCAUACUGUACAUUGUGCUUGGUGGUUCUGGAUAAUGCACUGCACUCUUGGAAAACAUGGGGCCUUGAAGAACCUUCAGUGGUGGUAACAAUAGCCAUGGCAGUGGAACAUUUCUUUGUCAAAAGUUUUUUUUUUGAAACCCAUAAAACAGGUGUAUCAGGAACCCUGUGUGAAGGUUCCCAUUGUUUUGAUAAGGGUUCAAUAUAGAACGCUUUUAAUAGUAUUUUGUAGUCCAUUGGACUAGAGUAGCAUAUUGAAAGUAUUGCUUUCUAACUGUAUUUUGGCCACCUGUUAGCCCAAAUUUCAUUCCUG